UUCCAUGUGGCUGUCCUCCCCAGGUCAACAGUGACAGGACCGGACACUACACUGUGAGAGAGAGAACAAAAUUGGGUUAAAAGCUUUAAAAACAAUUAGAAAACAAACGUCUUCCAUCAGACGUAUACAUGAAUCAGUUCCACGUUGACGCUAAACGCCUACAGAAGAACCUGGAGAUCAACCCACCAACCCUGGAUUUAACAACACCACCUAAACUAAACUACGUCCAUUCACUUUAUAUGGAAGAAGAAGGUAAGUACAAGCAUCUGACGUGAAGAACGUGACUUAGAAUAUGCUCUAAUAUAGAGACAGAGAAAGUAAUGUAUGUUAUUGUGUAACCCUGUUUGUCUAUAAAGUAUAAUAAUUCAAAGAUUACUAAAUAUAUGUUUGCCUUUAUUUCCUCUUCUCUCACUCCACCACCUGAGCUGCUGCUGUUCACUCCGGAUGAAAAAGAUGAUUAUGAGCUUUUUAAUAUAAAUUAGAGAAAGCAAUAUGUGUUAUAACUUGUUUGACUUAUCAACUAAUAUUAAAUGAACAAAGAUUUCUUGUCUUACUGACCUUUUUAUUUAUCUUAACUUGAAAUUACUCAACCACCUGAGAUACUGUUGUUCACUACGGACCGAAAAGGUUAGUGUGAGCGUCUGACAUGUGAAGAAAGAGACUUAAAAUAGGUUGUAAUAUGAAGACUAUGAGAUUGUGUAAACUAGCUACAUACUGUAUGUAUUAUUAUUUAGAAGUUCAGAGAUGAUUUGUCUUUCUUACUCAUCAUUAUCUAUUGUUCUCUACUCUUAUCUUCCUCCACCACCUGAGCUGCUGCUGUUCACUGUGGACAAAAAGGGGAGUAUGAUCUGGAAUAAACUACUUUAUUAUAGACUGAGUGUUCCUGUAGUUCAGCGGCUCCUUUACGACAAAGAAGAAAUGCUGAUUCCCGACUGAAUCAGAUGGAUGACGGAUCACAAGACGGACAGAACAGAAGUGAACGACUCUGUUUUCGUGGACUCAGGCAGGACUCUUCCUGGAGCCCCUGAGAGUGGACGUCAACCGAACCACACAAAGCCAGUAGUAGCAUCACACAAGCAGUCAUGAUGUGAGGAAGCUCCAGCACCACAGCAGUCCACUCAACACACUGAACCGCCUUCAGCUCCACACUUUACACACUCGGACUGAUCUCAUGUUCAAUUCAGUCAAAUAAAAACAAAAACUCAGACAUGUAAAA